GUCGCACGUGGAAUUCCCUUCGGGGUUGAGUAGCGUGGCGGACGGGUGAGUAACGCGUGGAUGACCUGCCCUACCGGUGGGGGAUAACCCGGGGAAACCCGGGCUAAUACCGCAUACGUCCUGUUCCUAUGGGGGCAGGGGAAAGCUGGCCUCUGAUGCACGCUAGCGCCGGAGGAGGGGUCCGCGUCGGAUUAGCUUGUUGGUGGGGUAAAAGCUCACCAAGGCGACGAUCCGUAGCUGGUCUUAGCGGAUGAUCAGCCACACUGGGACUGAGACACGGCCCAGACGCCUACGGGCGGCAGCAGUGGGGAAUCUUGGACAAUGGGGGCAACCCUGAUCCAGCCAUGCCGCGUGGGUGAAGAAGGCCUUCGGGUUGUAAAGCCCUUUCAGCUGUGAAGACGCCGGGUUGUUCGAACAGGGCAGCCUUGGUGACGUUAGCAGCAGAAGAAGCACCGGCCAACUCCGUGCCAGCAGCCGCGGUAACACGGAGGGUGCAAGCGUUAAUCGGAAUCACUGGGCGUAAAGGGCACGCAGGCGGCCCGUCAAGUGGGAUGUGAAAGCCCCGGGCUCAACCUGGGAAUGGCAUUCCAAACU
rnacentral:rRNA from 1 species